rnacentral:rRNA from 1 species
AGUCACUGACAUUAGAUACCCGUGUAGUCCAGGGUGUAAACGCUGCGGGCUUGGUGUUGGGGGGUCCUUUGAGGGCGCCCAGUGCCGGAGAGAAGUUGUUAAGCCUGCUGCUUGGGGAGUACGUCCGCAAGGAUGAAACUUAAAGGAAUUGGCGGGGGAGCACCGCAACGGGAGGAGCGUGCGGUUCAAUUGGAUUCAACGCCGGACAACUCACCAGGAGCGACGGUUACAUGAAGGCCAGGCUGAUGACCUUGCCUGAUUUUCCG